rnacentral:rRNA from 1 species
AUGUCGUCGUCCUCGAUUGGUUCCGCCUAUUCACGCGGCGGAGGGAUUCGACGGAGAGGCGCUGCCGCUAGGUCGCCGGUGCCGUAUCGUGAGCAGCCGAUGGAGUACGAGCCGGCGGUUUACUGCGGCCGUUGCAGGAGGAAGGUGCCGCGCUGGAUUUCUUGGAGUGUGGCGAACCCUGGAAGAAGAUAUUAUGCAUGCGUUGAUGCCCAGGUAAGCUCUGUUCUUGUAUGUGCUCUCUGCUCCUAUUCUCUGUUCGAUGUGCUUCUCUGA